rnacentral:rRNA from 1 species
GGGUUGUGAGGUUAAGCGACUAAGCGUACACGGUGGAUGCCCUGGCAGUCAGAGGCGAUGAAGGACGUGCUAAUCUGCGAAAAGCGUCGGUAAGGUGAUAUGAACCGUUACAGCCGGCGAUGUCCGAAUGGGGAAACCCAGUGCAAUUCGUUGCACUAUCGUUAACUGAAUACAUAGGUUAACGAGGCGAACCGGGGGAACUGAAACAUCUAAGUACCCCGAGGAAAAGAAAUCAACCGAGAUUCCCCCAGUAGCGGCGAGCGAACGGGGAGCAGCCCAGAGUCUGAAUCAGCUUGUGUGUUAGUGGAACGGUCUGGAAAGUCCGACGGUACAGGGUGAUAGUCCCGUACACCAAAAUGCACAGGCUGUGAACUCGAAGAGUAGGGCGGGACACGUGGUAUCCUGUCUGAAUAUGGGGGGACCAUCCUCCAAGGCUAAAUACUCCUGACUGACCGAUAGUGAACCAGUACCGUGAGGGAAAGGCGAAAAGAACCCCGGCGAGGGGAGUGAAAAAGAACCUGAAACCGUGUACGUACAAGCAGUGGGAGCACCUUCGGGUGUGACUGCGUACCUUUUGUAUAAUGGGUCAGCGACUUAUAUUCUGUAGCAAGGUUAACCGUAUAGGGGAGCCGCAGGGAAACCGAGUCUUAACUGGGCGUUAAGUUGCAGGGUAUAGACCCGAAACCCGGUGAUCUAGCCAUGGGCAGGUUGAAGGUUGGGUAACACUAACUGGAGGACCGAACCGACUAAUGUUGAAAAAUUAGCGGAUGACUUGUGGCUGGGGGUGAAAGGCCAAUCAAACCGGGAGAUAGCUGGUUCUCCCCGAAAGCUAUUUAGGUAGCGCCUCGUGAAUUCAUCUUCGGGGGUAGAGCACUGUUUCGGCUAGGGGGUCAUCCCGACUUACCAACCCGAUGCAAACUACGAAUACCGAAGAAUGUUAUCACGGGAGACACACGGCGGGUGCUAACGUCCGUCGUGAAGAGGGAAACAACCCAGACCGCCAGCUAAGGUCCCAAAGUCAUGGUUAAGUGGGAAACGAUGUGGGAAGGCACAGACAGCCAGGAUGUUGGCUUAGAAGCAGCCAUCAUUUAAAGAAAGCGUAAUAGCUCACUGGUCGAGUCGGCCUGCGCGGAAGAUGUAACGGGGCUAAACCAUGCACCGAAGCUGCGGCAGCGACACUAUGUGUUGUUGGGUAGGGGAGCGUUCUGUAAGCCUGCGAAGGUGUGCUGUGAGGCAUGCUGGAGGUAUCAGAAGUGCGAAUGCUGACAUAAGUAACGAUAAAGCGGGUGAAAAGCCCGCUCGCCGGAAGACCAAGGGUUCCUGUCCAACGUUAAUCGGGGCAGGGUGAGUCGACCCCUAAGGCGAGGCCGAAAGGCGUAGUCGAUGGGAAACAGGUUAAUAUUCCUGUACUUGGUGUUACUGCGAAGGGGGGACGGAGAAGGCUAUGUUAGCCGGGCGACGGUUGUCCCGGUUUAAGCAUGUAGGCUGGUUGUCCAGGCAAAUCCGGAUAAUCAAGGCUGAGGUGUGAUGACGAGGCACUACGGUGCUGAAGUAACAAAUGCCCUGCUUCCAGGAAAAGCCUCUAAGCAUCAGGUAACAUCAAAUCGUACCCCAAACCGACACAGGUGGUCAGGUAGAGAAUACCAAGGCGCUUGAGAGAACUCGGGUGAAGGAACUAGGCAAAAUGGUGCCGUAACUUCGGGAGAAGGCACGCUGGUGUGUAGGUGAAGCCCCUGCGGGUGGAGCUGAGACCAGUCGAAGAUACCAGCUGGCUGCAACUGUUUAUUAAAAACACAGCACUGUGCAAACACGAAAGUGGACGUAUACGGUGUGACGCCUGCCCGGUGCCGGAAGGUUAAUUGAUGGGGUUAUCCGUAAGGAGAAGCUCUUGAUCGAAGCCCCGGUAAACGGCGGCCGUAACUAUAACGGUCCUAAGGUAGCGAAAUUCCUUGUCGGGUAAGUUCCGACCUGCACGAAUGGCGUAAUGAUGGCCAGGCUGUCUCCACCCGAGACUCAGUGAAAUUGAACUCGCUGUGAAGAUGCAGUGUACCCGCGGCAAGACGGAAAGACCCCGUGAACCUUUACUAUAGCUUGACACUGAACAUUGAGCCUUGAUGUGUAGGAUAGGUGGGAGGCUUUGAAGCGUGGACGCCAGUCUGCGUGGAGCCAACCUUGAAAUACCACCCUUUAAUGUUUGAUGUUCUAACGUUGGCCCCUUACCGGGGUUGCGGACAGUGUCUGGUGGGUAGUUUGACUGGGGCGGUCUCCUCCCAAAGCGUAACGGAGGAGCGCGAAGGUUAGCUAAUCCUGGUCGGACAUCAGGAGGUUAGUGCAAUGGCAUAAGCUAGCUUGACUGCGAGCGUGACGGCGCGAGCAGGUGCGAAAGCAGGUCAUAGUGAUCCGGUGGUUCUGAAUGGAAGGGCCAUCGCUCAACGGAUAAAAGGUACUCCGGGGAUAACAGGCUGAUACCGCCCAAGAGUUCAUAUCGACGGCGGUGUUUGGCACCUCGAUGUCGGCUCAUCACAUCCUGGGGCUGAAGUAGGUCCCAAGGGUAUGGCUGUUCGCCAUUUAAAGUGGUACGCGAGCUGGGUUUAGAACGUCGUGAGACAGUUCGGUCCCUAUCUGCCGUGGGCGCUGGAGAAUUGAGGGGGGCUGCUCCUAGUACGAGAGGACCGGAGUGGACGCAUCACUGGUGUUCGGGUUGUCAUGCCAAUGGCACUGCCCGGUAGCUAAAUGCGGAAGAGAUAAGUGCUGAAAGCAUCUAAGCACGAAACUUGCCCCGAGAUGAGUUCUCCCUGAGACUUUAAGUCUCCUGAAGGAACGUUGAAGACGACGACGUUGAUAGGCCGGGUGUGUAAGCGCAGCGAUGCGUUGAGCUAACCGGUACUAAUGAACCGUGAGGCUUAACCUUACAACGCCGAAG